rnacentral:lncRNA from 1 species
UCAGAAGAAGAGAAAGAAAGGGGUCAAACCUAGAACACCAAAAUCUAUCAAAUUGAAAGGGGAAUUGAAGCCUAGUUGAAUGCAUGAACUAAGAAUGGAGUCAUGUCAAUAGAGGCACAAAUAUGGAAGCGCUACGGGUUGAAGGUAAACACGGAAGCUAUGUGUAAAUUCGGACGCACGAGGUAAGUAAACUCCCCGACUCCUUCCUUAGUAGUAAAAGAGGUUAUUUGUAUGAUAAAUGUUAGCAAUUAUGCAAGAUGCUUUAUUGACAUUGGUAACAAGUAAGAAGCAUUAAGGACGUGAUUUCUGAAUCACUUCCUACACCAUUUUAGGAAGGCUAUAUGCGAGUCACUUAAGUAUGGUAAUCUAAGU